rnacentral:lncRNA from 9 species
AAACUCCUUAAGAAACAACGAAUAAUUAUCUGUUUAUAUGUUUAUCUUUUCAUCCAGGGAUUUUUAAAAUUUCUUCAGAUUAUGGUACCCCUUACACAGAGUUUUGCGGUGAUUUUAGAAAGUUAAAAGUCUCCCCACCCCGCCGACUUGCCAAGAAGCCUUCUAUGGACCUAACCCUGCAGCAGCCUGCAUGGAUGAAUACAGUAACCUCAGUGAAUCUGCUGUUCUCAGGGAAGCAGAAUGAGUCCAGGUUUGGUAGGCAGAAAGACCAAAGUGUGAG